rnacentral:rRNA from 1 species
ACGGGGUGCAGCAGGCGCGAAAACUUCGCAAUGCGCGAGAGCGUGACGAGGGGACCCCAAGUGUUCCGUCACAAACGGAACUUUUGUUUAGUGUAAAAAGCUAAACGAAUAAGGGCUGGGUAAGACUGGUGCCAGCCUCCGCGGUAACACCAGCAGCUCAAGUGGUGGCCACGUUUAUUGGGCUUAAAGCGUCCGUAGUCGGUUGCAUAAGUCCUCUGUGAAAUCCUUCAGCUCAACUGGGGGGCUUGCAGAGAAUACUAUGCGGCUAGAGGCCGGGAGAGGUUAGGGGUAUUCUCAGGGUACCGGUGAAAUGGUAUAAUCCUGGGAGGACCACCAGUAGCGAAGGCGCCUAACUGGAACGGGCCUGACGAUGAGGGACGAAAGCUAGGGGAGCGAACGGGAUUAGAUACCCCGGUAGUCCUAGCCGUAAACGAUGCAGACUGAGUGUUGCCUGAACUUAGGGUUCCGGCAGUGCUGAAGGGAAACCGUUAAGUCUGCCGCCUGGGAGUACGUCGCAAGG